rnacentral:rRNA from 1 species
UACGGGGGGUGCAAACGUUGCUCGGAAUUAUUGGGCGUAAAGCGCACGUAGGCGGUCUUGUAAGUCGGGUGUGAAAGCCCGGGGCUUAACCCCGGAAGUGCACUCGAAACUGCAAGGCUUGAGUACGGAAGAGGGUCUCGGAAUUCCCGGUGUAGAGGUGAAAUUCGUAGAUAUCGGGAGGAACACCAGUGGCGAAGGCGGAGACCUGGGCCGAUACUGACGCUGAGGUGCGAAAGCGUGGGGAGCAAACAGG